AUGUGGAUCGAUUGGUUCGAUCAACCAAGUUCUUGUCUAGAAAUUGAAGUUCACGGAGAACAAGGGGUGAAAAACACAGAGAGUUUUUGCAUAAAAAGUUCAGAAAAAAUAUGCCCUGCCACAAUUUUUGUUUGUGCUAGUUCAUAUAUCUAUUUUCGUCUUAUAUGUGUGUUCAGAUUUUGGUUUUGCAGAAGAAGGCACGAAGUUCACUUACUGUCGUCGAGGAAAUUCAGCUAUACCCUCUCCAACGACCUCAGCCACGGCCGCCCUCCAGCCACCGAGUGCUUGCCUCUGCCAUCUCUAAGUGAUUUUUGA
rnacentral:rRNA from 1 species